rnacentral:rRNA from 1 species
GUCCACGCCCUAAACGAUGUCGACUGGUUGUUGGGGUUUGACACUCUCAGUAACGAAGCUAACGCGUGAAGUCGACCGCCUGGGGAGUACGGCCGCAAGGUUAAAACUCAAAGGAAUUGACGGGGACCCGCACAAGCGGUGGAUUAUGUGGAUUAAUUCGAUGCAACGCGAAAACCUUACCUACCCUUGACAUGUCCUGAAGCCUGGAGAGAUCCGGGUGUGCCCCGAAAGGGAACGGGAACACAGGUGCUGCAUGGCUGUCGU